GGAGCAGUCGGAGGAACAGUCGGAGGAGUCGGAGGAGCAUUACUAGGAGCAGUAUUAGGAGCAGUAUUUGGAUACAAUAUGGAGGAUCUGAUGAAGGACCUGAGGGAGAUUGUAGAUGACCAUUUGAGGAAGCGCGUGGAAGACGACAGAGCAACAGCAGUCGGAGGAGCAGUCGUUGGAGCAGUCGUUGGAGCAGUCGAAGGAGCAGUCGGAGGAGCAGUCGGAGGAGCAGUCGGAGGAGCAGUCGGAGGAGCAGUCGUAGGAGCAGUCG